CGCACCUUGCGCUCCUUGGUAUUCCGAGGAGCACAUCCGUUUGAGUGUCAUGGUAUUCUCAACCUCAAUAACUGUUGUUAAUGAGGCUUGGACUUGGAGGUCGUGCUGGCUCUCGUUAGUCAGCUCCUCUUAAAUGCAUUAGCGUGAACGUUACCGAUCGCUAUCAGUGUGAUAAUUAUCUGCGCUGUUAGUGUUGAAGUAUGACAAGCUCGCGCUUCUAACCGUCCUUCAGCUGGACAUUUACUUGACAAUCUGACCUCAAAUCGGAUGGGACUACCCGCUGAACUUAA
rnacentral:misc_RNA from 1 species